ensembl:snoRNA U3 Small nucleolar RNA U3
AAGACCAUACUUUCAGAGAUAAUUUUGAUAGUUCACUGGACACAUAGAGAAGUUUCACUGGGCACAGAGGACACUGGAAACCAUGAGAAGAGGCUGCUUUCUCUCUAAACAUGAAGCCAGAGUUUGGUGUUGUUUGCCUGCAAGUGCCAUUUUCCACUGAUAAUUGUUCUCUUCUUUUGAGAGAGUAAGAGAGGGAGGACAUAGUCUGAGUGGU